GACGAACGCUGGCGGCGUGCCUAAUACAUGCAAGUAGAACGCACAGUUUAUACCGUAGCUUGCUACACCAUAGACUGUGAGUUGCGAACGGGUGAGUAACGCGUAGGUAACCUGCCUGGUAGCGGGGGAUAACUAUUGGAAACGAUAGCUAAUACCGCAUAAUAUUAAUUAUUGCAUGAUAAUUGAUUGAAAGAUGCAACUGCAUCACUACCAGAUGGACCUGCGUUGUAUUAGCUAGUAGGUGAGGUAACGGCUCACCUAGGCGACGAUACAUAGCCGACCUGAGAGGGUGAUCGGCCACACUGGGACUGAGACACGGCCCAGACUCCUACGGGAGGCAGCAGUAGGGAAUCUUCGGCAAUGGACGAAAGUCUGACCGAGCAACGCCGCGUGAGUGAAGAAGGUUUUCGGAUCGUAAAGCUCUGUUGUAAGAGAAGAACGGGUGUGGGAGUGGAAAGUUCACACUGUGACGGUAUCUUACCAGAAAGGGACGGCUAACUACGUG
rnacentral:rRNA from 1 species